UAGUCCACGCCGUAAACGAUGUCUGCUAGCCGUUGGCGAGUUUAACUUGCUAGUGGCGCAGCUAACGCGAUAAGCAGACCGCCUGGGGAGUACGGCCGCAAGGUUAAAACUCAAAUGAAUUGACGGGGGCCCGCACAAGCGGUGGAGCAUGUGGUUUAAUUCGACGCAACGCGCAGAACCUUACCAACCCUUGACAUCCUGUGCUAACCCGAGAGAUCGGGCGUUCCCUUCGGGGACGCAGUGACAGGUGCUGCAUGGCUGUCGUCAGCUCGUGUCGUGAGAUGUUCGGUUAAGUCCGGCAACGAGCGCAACCCACGUCCUUAGUUGCCAUCCGUCUGGUGGGCACUCUAAGGAAACUGCCCGUGAUAAGCGGGAGGAAGGUGUGGGAUGACGUCAAGUCCUCAUGGGCCCUUACGGGGUUGGGGCUACACACGUGCUACAAUGGGCAGUGACAAUGGGGUUAAUCCCCAAAAGCUGUCUCAGUUCGGGAUUGGGGGUCUGGCAACUCGA
rnacentral:rRNA from 1 species